GCAGCACCGCUCCUUCUGAGAGGAAAUAUUUCCUAAUACCCAACCUGAACCUCCCCUGGUGCAACUGCAGGCCAUACCUGGGGGCAGAGGCUGACCUCCACCUCACUACAACCUCAUUUCAGGUCACUGUAGAGAGCCAUAAGAUCUCCCCUGAGCUUCCUCUUCUCCAAAAUGAACAAUCCCAGUUCCCUCAGCCGCUCCCCAUCAGGCUUGUGCUCCAGACCCUCCACCAGCUUUGUUGCCCUUCUUUGGAUGAAGUGGAUAACAAUUCAUUUCUGUACACUCAGUGAAUACUAAGGGGGUUGUUAUGUGGUCUCCCAAUCCAUACUGGAGGAAAAGCCACCAAAUCAUGCCCUACCCAUGCAGAAGAAGAAGAGAUGCACCCACCUGACAGUGACUAUAUUGGCCUUGCAGAAAAGAGUAGGCGUAGGGAGAAAUCAUGAUGUUCAGUCCCCAUUCAGACCCAUCUCUCUAGCUGCUUCUGGCCCAGUGUUCAGGCAGAUAAUGGCACAGCUGGCAGUGAGCCCAUGCUUUUCUCUGCUGGUGUACGAUGCUGGGAGGAAGGGUUCAUUCAGCAAGCCCCCAGGGCUCUCCUCUGGAUGGCACCAUCCCAGUUCUUCCAGAAGAGAGAGAGAAAGGGUGCUUUUGGUGCCAUUUCUAUAGCUGCUGCUAUUUGGCACCACAGGAUAUGCCCUUAUUUCCUCCCAUUCACUAUCCUGACUCACUUAGCAGGGCUGAUGAUUGUCUCUCAAAGAUUUUUACCUGUGAUGGGAAACGAACAACUAAGGAGGGCAGAAGAGAAGGAGGAGUUGAGGAAGAUGAAGAGGAUGGGAGAGAAGAGCCUUACAAAAGUCUUCACAGAACCAUCUCUGAUCAAAAGCACAGAAAAGGCUCAUUAGAUGCAGGUGAAAACAAAGAUAAAAUGAAUAGCUCAGAAGUAAGAGGUGAUGCAUGAAAAAUGCAUGAAAUGGAGACAGACUGAUGAGCUUGAGCCCUCUGUAGCACACGCUCUGCUACCCGUGACCAGUUGUUCUAUUUUGGUCUCCAUUUGAGGAAAGGAUGGGAAACGCUGAGCUUUGCUCUCCGUGACAGCGACAGGGCCUGAGGGAACAGCAUGGAGCUGUGCCAGGGGAAGGUCAGGUUGGAGGUUAGGAUGAGGUUCUUCACCAGAGGGUGGUGGGCAUGGAACAGGCUGCCUAGGGCAGUGGCACGGCCCCGAGCUGCUGGAGUUCAAGGAGCGUCUGGUCUGGUCAAUGUACUCAGACAUAAGGUCCGACUUCUGAGUGGUUCUGUAUGGAGCCUAGAGUCGGACUUGAUGGUCCUUAUGAAGAGACCUUCUUCAGUUGCCUUCUCUGAUGCUGCAUGUUGGUCCUGGCUGUACAUCUGUGUGAACCUGGGCACGUUUUAUUUGGCUCUGAGCUUCACUGCUUCCUUCCAGAAGAACAGCCACUGCCUGCUGAUGGUCAGUAUGGAUGCGGUGUCCUCGGCGUGGGGUUGACUGUUGCUGUGCCCUCCUCUACCUAGCAGACAAGUCUUACGCUAGAGCUUGUUUCUGGCCGCUGAUGGGGACUGCCUGCGUGAUCUGCUCACCAGCUCUGAAAAAAGCUUUGGAACAAGUCCUUGGGUCUGUCCCAGGCAUAAGGAUAUUUCAGUCUGAGAAAGUUACUGCUUUUGUUGACUUCUGCUGUCCCUGAGGGCUUUGCAACCCUGGAUCCUUGCCUGAGAGGUCCCAUGAGGAACUCUUGGAGGGAACAGCAACUCUUUGGAAGAAUUCAUAUCACUGAGCUUGGUCCUGCAAGGCAGGCCCUGCCACUGCUGACCGGGUCCAUUCUGAGCAACGAUGUAUUAGCAAAGCAGCGCCCACAUGGAUCCGCUGGGAUUUCUGCUCCAUUCCUACCCAUCCAGCUUUAUUUGCCUCCCUUAAUCCAGGGAAAACACUAACAUGAAACCAACCUUCACUUCUUAUCUGAGAGCCAUAUUCCUUGAAAGCUUCCACUGCUGGGGCAGGGUGAUCUGCUCAAGCCAAGACAUAUACCGUCCACUUUUAGGCUCUGUCCUUCGUAUGGUGUCUGUGAUACUCCUAUACAAACCCAUUUCUUGUAAAAUAACAAAAAGCAGUGGGCAGAGUCAUGGGCAGGGUGCUAUUUUAGUUUCAGUAAAUGGUUUUUAUCAGAAGUAGGCCUUUCCUUUCUGCUUCUAUAGAUUGUAAAGAGGUUUCUGCCUCUCUAACUCUGAGAGUGGGUCUCAGAAACGUAUUUCACCCUUAUGCUACAAAAUAAACCUGCUGAACGGGAUUGCUGUUGGCUUGAGCGUAAGCAAGUGCUCUUCUUGUAAACUGGCACAAACACAAAUGUGCUUAUGGUUAUGGAUUUUAUACAGUUUUCAUAGCGUAAUUUUGGCAUUAGUCUCCAG
ensembl:lncRNA